AGCAGUCGCCGCGGGAAUACGUAGGUCCCGAGCGUUGUCCGGAUAUAUUGGGCGUAAAGCGAGCGCAGGCGGUUAGAUAAGUCUGAAGUUAAAGGCUGUGGCUUAACCAUAGUACGCUUUGGAAACUGUUUAACUUGAGUGCAAGAGGGGAGAGUGGAAUUCCAUGUGUAGCGGUGAAAUGCGUAGAUAUAUGGAGGAACACCGGUGGCGAAAGCGGCUCUCUGGCUUGUAACUGACGCUGAGGCUAGAAAGCGCGGGGAGCAAACAGGAUUAGAUACCCCCGUAGUCCCUGUCUCUUAUACA
rnacentral:rRNA from 1 species